GGGCGUAAAGCGCGCGUAGGUGGUUAUUUAAGUCAGUUGUGAAAGCCCAGGGCUCAACCUUGGAAUUGCAAUUGAUACUGGGUAACUUGAGUACAGUAGAGGAGUGUGGAAUUUCAGGUGUAGCGGUGAAAUGCGUAGAGAUCUGAAGGAACAUCAAUGGCGAAGGCAACACUCUGGACUGAUACUGACACUGAGGUGCGAAAGCGUGGGUAGCAAACAGGAUUAGAUACCCUGGUAGUCCACGCCGUAAACGAUGUCUACUAGCCGUUGGGACUCUUGUAGUCUUAGUGGCGCAGCUAACGCGAUAAGUAGACCGCCUGGGGAGUACGGCCGCAAGGUUAAAACUCAAAUGAAUUGACGGGGGCCCGCACAAGCGGUGGAGCAUGUGGUUUAAUUCGAUGCAACGCGAAGAACCUUACCAGGUCUUGACAUACAGAGAAUUCGCUAGAGAUAGCUUAGUGCCUUCGGGAACUCUGAUACAGGUGCUGCAUGGCU
rnacentral:rRNA from 1 species